rnacentral:rRNA from 1 species
AAGUGGUAGGAAGCCGAAGUGACGACCCUCGGGAGCUUGCACAGGUGCUGCAUGGCUGUCGUCAGCUCGUGUCGUGAGAUGUUCGGUUAAGUCCGCUAACGAGCGCAACCCUCGCUGUGUGUUAUAUGUGUCACACGGGACUGCCGGUCUUAAGCCGGAGGAAGGUGGGGAUGAUGUCAAGUCAGCAUGGCCUUUAUAUCCUGGGCUACACGCACGCUACAAUGGCCAACACAAUAGGUUGCUAAGCCGCGAGGUGGCGCCAAUCCAUAAAGUUGGUCUCAGUUCAGAUUGUAGGCUGCAACCCGCCUGCAUGAAGAUGGAGUUGCUAGUAACCGCAGGUCAGCUAUACUGCGGUGAAUACGUUCCCGGGGCUU